rnacentral:rRNA from 1 species
GACGAACGCUGGCGGCGUGCUUAACACAUGCAAGUCGAACGAAGUGGCGAACGGGUGAGUAAUACGUGAGUAACCUGCCCUCCUUUUUGGGAUAAGCCUUGGAAACGGGGUCUAAUACCGGAUAAAGGGGGAUGGGCUCGCGGCCUAUCAGCUUGUUGGUGGGGUGAUGGCCUACCAAGGCGGUGACGGGUAGCCGGCGUGAGAGGGUGACCGGCCACAUUGGGACUGAGAUACGGCCCAGACUCGUACGUGAGGCAGCAGUGGGGGAUAUAGCACAAUGGGGGAAACCCUGAUGCAGCGACGCCUCGUGAACGAAGAAGGUAUUCGUAUCGUAAAGUUCUGUCCAGUACCAUAGAAGAAAGCACCGGCUAAAUACGUGCCAGCAGCCGCGGUAAUAC